ensembl:snRNA U4 U4 spliceosomal RNA
AGCUUUGCACAGUGGCAGUAUCAUAGCCAAUGAGGUUUAUCCAAGGUCUGAUUAGUGCUAAUUGAAAACUCAUUUACAGGGGCACCUGAGUGGCUCAGUGGGUUAAGCAUCUGCCUUUGGCUCAGGUCAUGAUCCCAGGGUGCUGG